GUGCUUGCUUUAGCAGCACAUAUACUAAAAAUUAGAACAAUACAGAGAUUAGCAUGUUCCCUGCUCAAGGAUGAUACACAAAUUCGUGAAGUGUUAAUUUUUUUU